rnacentral:rRNA from 1 species
UAAUACGUAGGUGGCGAGCGUUGUCCGGAAUUAUUGGGCGUAAAGAGCAUGUAGGCGGCUUAAUAAGUCGAGCGUGAAAAUGCGGGGCUCAACCCCGUAUGGCGCUGGAAACUGUUAGGCUUGAGUGCAGGAGAGGAAAGGGGAAUUCCCAGUGUAGCGGUGAAAUGCGUAGAUAUUGGGAGGAACACCAGUGGCGAAGGCGCCUUUCUGGACUGUGUCUGACGCUGAGAUGCGAAAGCCAGGGUAGCGAACGGG